GGGGCUGUAGCUCAGUGGUAGAACAUCUGCUCUGCGUGCAGAAGGUCCCACUUUCAAUCCUCCAGGCAAGGCUGGGAGUCUCC